rnacentral:rRNA from 1 species
GGCAACGAUCAGUAGGGGUUCUGAGAGGAAGGUCCCCCACAUUGGAACUGUGACACGGUCCAAACUCCUACGGGAGGCAGCAGUGAGGAAUAUUGGUCAAUGGGCGAGAGCCUGAACCAGCCAAGUAGCGUGCAGGACGACGGCCCUAUGGGUUGUAAACUGCUUUUAUAAGGGAAUAAAGUGAGUCUCGUGAGACUUUUUGCAUGUACCUUAUGAAUAAGGACCGGCUAAUUCCGUGCCAGCAGCCGCGGUAAUACGGAAGGUCCGGGCGUUAUCCGGAUUUAUUGGGUUUAAAGGGAGCGUAGGCCGGAGAUUAAGCGUGUUGUGAAAUGUAGACGCUCAACGUCUGCACUGCAGCGCGAACUGGUUUCCUUGAGUACGCACAAAGUGGGCGGAAUUCGUGGUGUAGCGGUGAAAUGCUUAGAUAUCACGAAGAACUCCGAUUGCGAAGGCAGCUCACUGGAGCGCAACUGACGCUGAAGCUCGAAAGUGCGGGUAUCGAACAGGAUUAGAUACCCUGGUAGUCCGCACGGUAAACGAUGGAUGCCCGCUGUUGGUCUGAAUAGGUCAGCGGCCAAGCGAAAGCAUUAAGCAUCCCACCUGGGGAGUACGCCGGCAACGGUGAAACUCAAAGGAAUUGACGGGGGCCCGCACAAGCGGAGGAACAUGUGGUUUAAUUCGAUGAUACGCGAGGAACCUUACCCGGGCUUGAAUUGCAGAGGAAGGAUUUGGAGACAAUGACGCCCUUCGGGGCCUCUGUGAAGGUGCUGCAUGGUUGUCGUCAGCUCGUGCCGUGAGGUGUCGGCUUAAGUGCCAUAACGAGCGCAACCCCUCUCCUUAGUUGCCAUCAGGUCAUGCUGGGCACUCUGGGGACACUGCCACCGUAAGGUGUGAGGAAGGUGGGGAUGACGUCAAAUCAGCACGGCCCUUACGUCCGGGGCUACACACGUGUUACGAUGGCAGGUACAGAGAGACGGUCCCUUGCAAAAGGGAUCAAAUCCUCAAAGCCUGUCUCAGUUCGGACUGGGGUCUGCAACCCGACCCCACGAAGCUGGAUUCGCUAGUAAUCGCGCAUCAGCCAUGGCGCGGUGAAUACGUUCCCGGGCCUUGUACACACCGCCCGUCAAGCCAUGAAAGCCGGGGGCGCCUAAAGUCCGUGACCGUAAGGAGCGGCCUAGGGCGAAACUGGUAAUUGGGGCUAAGUCGUAACAAGGUA